GGGGGUGACAGGUUUCGACGGGCAGAUGUCUGGACCGGAGAAGCGUGCCGAGAAUCCAUGGCUGAUCUCGUGAACCUUGCCAUGGGAACAACAACUGCCAACAAGCAGCAGUCCGCGUUCGCCCUCGCCGCCUGAGCGAGUGUGACGCCGUCAGCCCGGGAGGUCUCCGACCCGGUUCCUGACGUCAGCUAGGAGACUCACCGACCGCUCCGGCCGCGGGGGCGGAAGGGACACCACACAACGGCUGGGCCGAGUUCCCUGCAGUGCCACACGAAGCAGGGAGGCCGAGAACUCGCCAGCGUGGCUACGCACGUAGAAGGACGCGAAGGGCCUGUUCGGACCCGGGUUCGAUUCCCGGCACCUCCACCA
rnacentral:tmRNA from 1 species